GACGAACGCUGGCGGCGUGCUUAACACAUGCAAGUCGAACGGUGAAGCGCCUUCCUUUUUGGUGGGUGUGGAUGAGUGGCGAACGGGUGAGUAACACGUGAGUAACCUGCCCCCUUCUUCUGGAUAACCGCAUGAAAGUGUGGCUAAUACGGGAUAUUCUGGGUCUGUCGCAUGAUGGGUCUGGGAAAGAUAUUGUUUCGGUGGGGGAUGGGCUCGCGGCCUAUCAGCUUGUUGGUGGGGUGAUGGCCUACCAAGGCGGUGACGGGUAGCCGGGCUGAGAGGGUGGACGGUCACACUGGGACUGAGACACGGCCCAGACUCCUACGGGAGGCAGCAGUGGGGAAUAGUGCACAAUGGGCGCAAGCCUGAUGCAGCGACGCCGCGUGAGGGAUGGAGGCCUUCGGGUUGUGAACCUCUUUCGCCAGUGAAGCAGGCCUGCCUCGUUUGUGGGUGGGUUGACGGUAGCUGGAGAAGAAGCGCCGGCUAACUACGUG
rnacentral:rRNA from 1 species